AUUGAACGCUGGCGGCAUGCUUUACACAUGCAAGUCGAACGGCAGCGCGGGCUUCGGCCUGGCGGCGAGUGGCGAACGGGUGAGUAAUACAUCGGAACGUGCCCAGUAGUGGGGGAUGGCCGGGCGAAAGCGGGAUUAAUACCGCAUACGACCUGAGGUGGAAAGGGGGGGAUCUUCGGACCUCGCGCAAUUGGACGGGCCGAUGGCAGAUUAGCUAGUGGGUGGGGUAAAGGCCUACCAAGGCGACGAUCUGUAGCUGGUCUGAGAGGACGACCAGCCACACUGGGACUGAGACACGGCCCAGACUCCUACGGGAGGCAGCAGUGGGGAAUUUUGGACAAUGGGCGAAAGCCUGAUCCAGCAAUGCCGCGUGUGUGAUGAAGGCCUUCGGGUUGUAAAGCACUUUUGGCGGGAACGAAAAGGACUGUGCCAAUACCACGGUUCGAUGACGGUACCCGCAGAAUAAGCACCGGCUAACUACGUG
rnacentral:rRNA from 1 species